AAUAAGGAAGUGAAGAAGGUGGAGAACAAGGUGUGAGCAAGUGUAAGAAGAAACAUUUUACAGCGCAUCGAUUCUCUGCUUCACACUGAAUUUAAUGGGUACAUUGGCACAAUGCAACAUUGUUUGGAACGAAAACAUAUGACUGGUGGGUGAGUUCAAUUCAAAACCUACUUCUAAGUUCUGGGAUGCCGUCCAAGUAACCGGCUUCAUGUGGGAGCAGAGAGCGCUGCUAUUCCACUUGACCCUCCGUCUGAAUAAGCUCGUCGCCGACACCACAACCACUGUAGGUAUUGCCGACUACCCUAAUCUUUACUUCUUUUACCUGCAAACAAUGGUUGCGAAACCGAGUGUCGUCUUAGGUCAAUACAGGUAAUUUCUUAACUCGGCAAUCUACUAUGCAAGCAAUAGAUUGAGUGGAGCAUGAGGUGCAAUUAGUUUCAGGAGCACAAAAACAACAAGGUACAGGUCCAAGAUAUAUUUUUUAGAAUAACAAAAAUCAAGUGGGCCAGGGAAAAAAAGGAUAAAGUUAGGAUUGUAAGAUGUUCAGAACUGGCAAGGUUAUCCUAGUGUUUUUAGAAUAAUAAAUGUCAAGUGGGCGAGAUAAACUUAGGAUUGUAAGAUGUACUAGCAAAAUUUUCUUGGUAUGUCUUUAUAAGAUGUUUACGUUGUUGCACAACUCUUGUGAUUGGACCAUUGAUCAUAAGUCAUGACCCAUGCCGUGUUUGGCUGGAAUUUAUGGAUUGCAAACAGAAAUCAUUACCGGUUCCAACCGUGGAGAUAUUUUGGUUUACCACACUAUUAUUUUUUGAAUGGUGAUUAGCACUCCAGAGUUGCUGGCAAUGAACUGAAAUAACAAAACAGGUUUGCUCAGAAGUUAGAUCAGGUAUAACCGGAUUCCUUCUGACUCACUUGGAAUGGUAAGCGUCUCGGAAGACCCUUGACUGAGGAGAUGUGUGUUGGAAGGAUGAAUCGCUCCCAAAAAGGAGCCUAAUUGAUUCUCUCCCAACUUCAUGCCCUUGUGGUGCAUUGCUGUCAUAAAAUGCAUGAUUGAAGUGUCAAUUGCAUGAAUAUUGAAUGGAUAUGGGCCCACCUCUGUCGCUUGUCAUAACUAUAUAUUACAUGGUGUAUUGCCAUGAUCUUUUUCAGUUUUGUAUUCUCUUCUAGCUGAUAGAUUCAUUGGGUUGAAUGACUUUGAAGAAGAGCUGUUUUAUCUUGAGAUGUUGGAGUGAACCAACUAGCAUUUUCAGUUUUGUCAUCUCUUGUAGCGACUACUAUCUGAUAGAUUCAGGCUACUUGCUGAAUUACUUUGAGUUACUUCAGUGCUUCCGGCUCCCUGAAAACACCAUGUGAUCGGUGGCGUUCCUGCAAGCACACCAUAACAAUGUUCUCAUCGUCGGCUUCGACAGAAGCUUCUACCGGUGCCUAGGCGACAUGGUGCCCCUGGACCUGGAGGCCUGGAGUACAACUGUACAAGAAAUCCAUCCAUGAAGGACGACGAAAUGAGCCAGUGAGAGAGGAUGACAGUACUAGUCGGCAGUUCUAGUCGGAAGGGCUCCUGAUUUCUUCCUGUUAAUCCUAAACACUGAACGUGGAACACGCAGCCUUUGCUUCUACCAUGUAUUUUCUAAUAAGAAAUUGUGUUGUUUAAUUUCUAGGUACUUGACCUUCUGAGCGGGAGUGUGAGUUGUUUUAAGUUUUAA